rnacentral:rRNA from 1 species
AUUGAACGCUGGCGGCAUGCUUUACACAUGCAAGUCGAACGGUAACAGGCCUUCUGGUGCUGACGAGUGGCGCACGGGUGAGUAAUGCAUCUGAACGUCCCCCGAGUUGGGGGAUAACGCAGCGAAAGCUGUGCUAAUACCGCAUGUGAUCUGAGGAUGAAAGCGGGGGACCGCGCAGCAAUGUUUGGCCUCGCGCCUUUGGAGCUGCCGAUGUCGGAUUAGCUAGUUGGUGGGGUAAAGGCCUACCAAGGCGACGAUCCGUAGCUGGUCUGAGAGGACGACCAGCCACACUGGGACUGAGACACGGCCCAGACUCCUACGGGAGGCAGCAGUGGGGAAUUUUGGACAAUGGGCGAAAGCCUGAUCCAGCAAUGCCGCGUGCGGGAAGAAGGCCUUCGGGUUGUAAACCGCUUUUGGCAGGAACGAAACGGUGUCCGCUAAUACCGGGCGCUAAUGACGGUACCUGCAGAAUAAGCACCGGCUAACUACGUG